AUGCCUCAGUAACGGCGAGUGAAGCGGCAAGAGCUCAAAUUUGAAAUCUGGCNCCCCCGGCGUCCGAGUUGUAAUUUGGAGAGGCAUCUUCAGGAGUGGGGCGCGGCCUAUGUUCCUUGGGACAGGACGUCAGAGAGGGUGAGAAUCCCGUUUGCGGCCGAAUGUCCACUCCUGCACGAAGCGCCUUCUACGAGUCGAGUUGUUUGGGAAUGCAGCUCAAAGUGGGUGGUAAAUUUCAUCUAAAGCUAAACACUGGCGAGAGACCGAUAGCGCACAAGUAGAGUGAUCGAAAGAUGAAAAGCACUUUGAAAAUAGAGUCAAACAGCACGUGAAAUUGUUGAAAGGGAAGCGCUGGAGACCAGACUCGGCCAUCGACAAACAAGCGUCCUUCUGGGCGGUGCACUUGUCCUUGGCCGGGCCAGCGUCAGUUGGGACGGCGGGAUAAAGGCCAGGGGAAUGUGACUCCUCGUCCGGAGUGUUAGAGCCCCUGGCGCCAUGCCGCCCGCCCCGACUGUGGACCGCGCUUCGGCUAGGAUGCUGGCAUUAAUGGUCUUCAGCGACCCGUCUUGA
rnacentral:rRNA from 1 species